UGGGGAAUAUUGGGCAAUGGGCGAAAGCCUGACCCAGCAACGCCGCGUGAAGGAAGAAGGUCUUCGGAUUGUAAACUUCUUUUAUCAGGGACGAAGGAAGUGACGGUACCUGAUGAAUAAGCCACGGCUAACUACGUGCCAGCAGCCGCGGUAAUACGUAGGUGGCGAGCGUUAUCCGGAUUUACUGGGUGUAAAGGGCGCGUAGGCGGGGAUACAAGUCAGGUGUGAAAUCUAUGGGCUUAACCCAUAAACUGCACUUGAAACUGUAUCUCUUGAGUGUCGGAGAGGUAGACGGAAUUCCUAGUGUAGCGGUGAAAUGCGUAGAUAUUAGGAGGAACACCAGUGGCGAAGGCGGUCUACUGGACGAUAACUGACGCUGAGGCGCGAAAGCGUGGGGAGCAAACAGG
rnacentral:rRNA from 1 species